AUUGAACGCUGGCGGCAUGCUUUACACAUGCAAGUCGAACGGUAACAGGCCUUCGGGUGCUGACGAGUGGCGAACGGGUGAGUAAUGCAUCGGAACGUGCCCAGAGGUGGGGGAUAACGCAGCGAAAGCUGUGAUAAUACCGCAUGUGAUCUGAGGAUGAAAGCGGGGGACCAGGCAGCAAUGUUUGGCCUCGCGCCUUUGGAGCGGCCGAUGUCAGAUUAGGUAGUUGGUGGGGUAAAGGCCUACCAAGCCGACGAUCUGUAGCUGGUCUGAGAGGACGACCAGCCACACUGGGACUGAGACACGGCCCAGACUCCUACGGGAGGCAGCAGUGGGGAAUUUUGGACAAUGGGCGCAAGCCUGAUCCAGCAAUGCCGCGUGCGGGAAGAAGGCCUUCGGGUUGUAAACCGCUUUUGUACGGAACGAAAAGGCUCUGGCUAAUACCUGGGGCUGAUGACGGUACCGUAAGAAUAAGCACCGGCUAACUACGUG
rnacentral:rRNA from 1 species